GAAAAUGCAACUGAACUAGCAGAAAAGCAGGAUGGCAGAGCUCCUCCGCCAAGCUGUUCUUUUCCAGCCUCCAGCACAGGCAGCAAACUGUCAUGGCAAACCACUGCAGAGUGUAGCAGAGCUCCUACCUUAGCUGCAGGACCUAGUUCAGAGUCCAACUGGGAACUCUCCUGCUCCCAGGAGAGGGACGAUCAACAGGAAUCAUUCAGGGCGCAGAUCUCAAAAAUCGAACAGUUCCUCAAGACAGAGAGACUCCGUCUGCCCAAAAGACAACGAACUGAACCAAAUCUGUAGAAACUGCUGGUCGUCUUUAUUCGCUGUCCUAGGUGAGACAUUGUGUGGCACACGUUUGACAGUUAUUGUUAGCGCAGGUCUAAAUGUUCUGAAACAUAAUUGCUUUUUAAUAUAUACAUGUGUUACUGAUUCCUUUGAACUGUAUAGUUUCUUCUAACAUUGCUGUUUGAAGUUUAAAGUUUUUUGGGUCAAAUCAUUAAUUCUUCACUUUAUUGUUAUUUUAACAUUUCUGUGCUUUAAAUGGAAAACUGCAGAGUUUGUGUGUUUGUUUCACACGUGUGUAUUUUUAUGUUUUUAAGUGAAGAGAUGAAAAUAAGAUAAGAUAGCCUUUCUAAGUGACAAAUAUACAAUACUACUACUGCUACGUUGGUAAGAUUUUAUUUUAUCACACAGUUGCAUGUGAUUUAAGUAAUUUUAAAAAGGCUCUGAUGUCACCAGUGUAAAAAUCCAACAUUUCCAA
ensembl:lncRNA